rnacentral:misc_RNA from 1 species
GCUGCCAAAGCAGAAGAGUUUUAUUCAAGGAGACAUACCUCAUACAAUCAUCUUCCACAGCCAAGUAAACCGAAUAUUUAUUUGAAACAUAACCAAGUGCAUACUUCUUUUACUUUAAAGUCCAUAGACACUUAAAUAGGUAACAAAACCAACUGCUUUCCUUAGACACUUAAACAGCUCAAAAGAAGAAAUAGACAGCAGGGGGGAUAAUAAUACCAGCAAGCAAGUCAUAAACAGCACAAAAAAAAUAAACUAACAGCAACAAGCAAUUCACAAAAACAUGGAGUAACUAGAUCCUUUGAUUCAAGCAU